GCCAAUGUAGCUCAGUGGUAGAGCAGCCGAUUCGUAAUCGGCAGGUCGUCAGUUCGAAUCUGACCAUUGGCUCCA
rnacentral:tRNA from 1 species